rnacentral:rRNA from 1 species
UACGUAGGGGGCAAGCGUUGUCCGGAAUUAUUGGGCGUAAAGCGCGCGCAGGCGGCUUCUUAAGUCUGAUGUGAAAGCCCGCGGCUCAACCGCGGAGGGUCAUUGGAAACUGGGAAGCUUGAGUGCAGAAGAGGAGAGUGGAAUUCCACGUGUAGCGGUGAAAUGCGUAGAGAUGUGGAGGAACACCAGUGGCGAAAGCGGCUCUCUGGUCUGUAACUGACGCUGAGGCGCGAAAGCGUGGGGAGCAAACAGG